rnacentral:rRNA from 1 species
CGAACGCUGGCGGCGUGCUUAACACAUGCAAGUCGAACGAUGACGAUGGUGCUUGCACCGGUCUGAUUAGUGGCGAACGGGUGAGUAACACGUGAGUAACCCUGCCCUCCUCUUCGGGAUAACCGCCGGAAACGGUGGCUAAUACCGGAUAUGAAUGCCUGCCGCAUGGUGGGUGUUGGAAAGAUUUAUCGGUGGGGGGAUGGACUCGCGGCCUAUCAGUUUGUUGGUGAGGUAAUGGCUCACCAAGGCGAUGACGGGUAGCCGGCCUGAGAGGGCGACCGGCCACACUGGGACUGAGACACGGCCCAGACUCCUACGGGAGGCAGCAGUGGGGAAUAUUGCACAAUGGGCGAAAGCCUGAUGCAGCGACGCCGCGUGGGGGAUGACGGCCUUCGGGUUGUAAACCUCUUUCAGCAGGGAAGAAGCGAGAGUGACGGUACCUGCAGAAGAAGCGCCGGCUAACUACGUGCCAGCCGCGGC